UAACCUGCCUUGUAGCGGGGGAUAACUAUUGGAAACGAUAGCUAAUACCGCAUAACAAUGGAUGACGCAUGUCAUUUAUUUGAAAGGGGCAAUUGCUCCACUACAAGAUGGACCUGCGUUGUAUUAGCUAGUAGGUGAGGUAACGGCUCACCUAGGCGACGAUACAUAGCCGACCUGAGAGGGUGAUCGGCCACACUGGGACUGAGACACGGCCCAG
rnacentral:rRNA from 1 species